UCUCCAUAGAGACUGUCAAAAAUUGCCAAUGCCAACUAUAUUUCAAGUCGUCAUGGCAGGGUAUUAGGAAAAGUUUUCAAUUAGCAAUAAUCAUGCCUCGGAUAAACCUCAUUAGCUACAAUACUGCCACUGCAAAAAGCU
rnacentral:snRNA from 1 species